rnacentral:lncRNA from 1 species
AGAUGUUUGGUCAAAUAUUAUUCAGAUGAUGCACAUGAAGGUGAUUUNUAAACCUACUUUAAUCAUUUUGGUGAUUUAGAGUAUCUCUUGUUUGUGGUAAUUGCAUUUUUUAUUAUAUAAGCAUUGUAUUUAAUUGGGGUAUGCUGGUUUCUGUGGUUAGAAAUGUGAAAAGUUUGAUAAUUUAAGUGGACAUUAUCUUAAGAUUUCUUAAAGUGGUGCCUGUUGGAUAAACUAUAUGGGCCUUUUUAAGGCAUCUUUGUGAAGGACUUCAAAUGCUUGUAUGUUAAGACCUUUUUUUUUUGAGAGCUUGUAUUUUACUGUUGCUAGUUGUAAAGUCUUUGCUCUUUAGAACUUAGUCUGUUUUGUUGCUGCUCCUGAAUGCUAAUGUGGUUAGGCUGGCAGCUAAACCUACAAAUAACAAGAGGAAAUUAGGAAAUGUCCCCAUGAAACAUUGCUUAAAGCUAUUAAAGCAGUGGACUAGAAAUGGGGAGCUAGGGAUCAGGAGACCUAAUUUUUGUUUUGUGUUCAGAAGAGAGUGAGGCAUACCCUCCAUUGAGAAAUAACCUCCAUAAGUGUGUCCUUUUUUUAGAGUUUUGCUUCAUUUACCAGACAUUGAUUAAAGACAUUGAACAUUCUUGGCAUGUGCUAGGUGCUAGAGUCACAAGUGAACUGGGGGCCUUGUCUAGGAAAGGAUAAAGAUUGGGCUCUUCAAACUAUAGUAUAAUUUGUUGAAAACCAAAAUAGAGUAAAGAAAGAGUGGUGUGGGAUUGGGAAGAGAGGGAGGGAUACCUUUUGGGAAGGGCUCAGUGACAGGGAAAAUAGGUGAGGUUAGGGAUCACUUUUUUCAUGUAGGAGAGGUUUGAGGCCUCUGAAGGAAAAAUAGCCAUUUUACUGAUAGAGAAGAGGCGGCUACAAGAAGGCCAUCAACAGUAUAAUUUGAGAAAUGGCAAGUAAAGUUUACUGUAGUUGUGAGUACUAGAAAAUGGAACCAAUAAAGUUGUGGCUUCAUAGGAAGAGUUUGUAAUCGCAUGCUCACAAGCAUGGAUUUUAUUCUGUAGGUAUUUUGGGGACUAUAUGAAAUUUGAGUAGGAAAUCUCUGGUUUUGAAUUUUUUAAAGUAAUAACUAUUUUUUUUUUUUUUGUUAAUGCUGGGGAUUGAAUCCAGGACCUUGCUCAUGCUAGGCAAAUGCUCUUACAUUGAGGUACACCCCCCAUUCUUACUCUGGUUUUAAAAAAAGAUGAUGUGAAGAUUGGAUUGGAUACCUUUGAGACUACUAAGUUGUGAUUUAAGAGGAGAUAAAUUCUGGAGAUUAUUUUUAAAAUUGUCAGGUUUUGGUGGUAUUUGAGUACAAGAUUAUAAUCUGGUUAAAGGAUGAAAAUGUAUUUAAGUUAGAGAAUGUGUAGGAAGAACAGAAUUUGAGGAGGAAGAUAAUAGGGCAUUAUUCCAGAUGUGUUUAGUUUGGGGAGGGAAUGAACUGACUGAAGCGAAUGUAGGGAUUAAUUAAUAAGAGAUUUGCAUUCAUCAGCAUAAUGUCAUGGAAACUGUAAAAAUAGUAUAAUAUUAGAAGUGAGGAAAAAACUAAGGGCAGCCUUGGGAACAUCAACAUCUGAGGGUCAACUAGAAGAGGAUCCUAGAGGGAAGUUGAUGAAAUUGUGAAUAAUUAAUAGAAUGAUGUAGGGUUGAAGAAGCUGAGGAGAGGGAUUAAGAGAAUCUUAAGAGGGAAGUUUGCCAUGUGAAAUACUACAGAGAACUUACUGGGAUAAAAAUUGGAUUUGGCAUUUAAGAGGUAAAAGAAAUUUUCAAAAUAUCCCUGUAUAUAUGUAUUAUGCAUGUAUUGUUUUGCCAGGCAUCAUGAUAAUUUAGACAAUAUAUUUCUAGAGCAAUUCUAAAUAUGGGUAGAGGCCUUUGAAACCCAAUUUAAUAGAAGACCCAUGCUUAGAAAUAGGUUUUGUUUUUCCCUUUCUCUUAUGGGAAUGGCAGCUUGAAAGUUUCAGGAGGUGACCCCCAGUGGGGACUGCCUAAAAAUCUUUUCUCCCCAUUGUUGGGCUUUUGUUGUUUAAUUUUUUAUUAACACCAUCUUGAAAGCCUGUUUCUAAUUCUGAGAAUUAGAAUCCAUUUGAGUUGCUAGUCUCUUAAAAUACAAAUUCCUCUUGGAGGAUUUUGAGGUUUUAUGAUAUUAGUAUGUUAAAUAUAGGGAUUUCAUACCUAAGAUUUAUGGUUCUGGGGUUCAAGAAAAUAUAUUUUGACUGCAUGACCCUGAAUCUCUUGAAACUGCAUGAAAAAUUUUUACGAGUACCUGUGCAAUAAUGUGGGGACAAGGGUUCCUUCUCACUUUUACAAGAUUCUCAAGGAGCUGGGCCUCGUGGUGCACACUUGUAAUCCCAGUGGUUUAGGAGACUGAGGCAGGAGAAUCACAAAUUCAAAGCAUGCCUCAGGAAUUUAGCAAGGGCCUAAGCAAUUUAGGGAGACCCUUUCUCAAAAAUAAAACAUAAAAAGGGUUAGGGAUAUGGCUCAGUGAUUGAGUGCUCUGGGUAAUCCCUGACUACCCUCUCCCACCACCACCAAAAAAAAAAAAAAAAAAAGAUUCUCAAGGAGAUUUUGACACAAAAGUUAAGGGUCUUUUCACUAACAUUAAUGAUUAAAUAAAGUGUUGAUUGUGUUAGUUGGCUGAAACCAGUUAUCUUUACUACUGGAAUAAAUCAAGGGAAAGAAAUUUUGAGUGAGUGUUUAGGUGAGGAACUUUUGGAAGAUAUGAGGCACCUCUUUUUUGGGGGGGCAAGUACCGAGAAUAGGGGCACUCAAUCACUGAGCCACAUCUCCAGCCCUAUUUUGUAUUUUAUUUAGAAUCAGGGUGCCACUGAGUUGCUUAGUGCUUUUGCUGAGGCUGGCUUUGAGCUGGUGAUGCUGCUGCCUCAGUCUCCCAAGCCUCUGGGAUUACAGGCACAUGUCACCGUGCCUGGCUGAUUCACCUCAGAGAUGGGAAUAAGGACCACCAGGAGGAAGAUGAGGGGAAUGCUAAAAUAAAGCUUAAUAACCAGUUUCAUAAUUUUGCCAGUAUUUUAUUGGAGUCCUUGUUUUUUGUUUGUUUUUAAUAUACCAGAACUCAUACUAAUAGAUGACUCUUUAUGCACUAUUGAUACAGUAGGCUUUGGGGGUGAUUUAAUGGUAACACAUUGUAGUGUUCACAUACAAGAAUGAUAUGAAUAAAUGGGUAAUCUUAAACUGAAAACUUGUGUUAUUUAAUUUGUAAGUAGCUUGUUUGUGGAUUACCUGUUUUGACACAUAAUAAUUGUAUACGUGUGCUACCGUGUAAUAUUUUUACUUAUAUUUUAUAUGUUUACUAUUGUUUUAAAGGAAAAGUGUGUUUUACUUCAUCAAUUAUACUCGUAGACAAAAUUCAUUUUUGAGUUAGGAGUUGCUUAUACUUUGGAAAAUUUCAAAGGUGUACAAAUGUUUUAGUGAUAUGGGAUAAGAUAAAGAAAAAGGAAAAAAUUUUCUUAUUUAGUUUUUCUGACCACAAAAUGAAAGUACUGUUGAACUAUUUUGUAAGGUCUUUCUGAAAUACAACAAUUAUAGAAUACCUUGAGAUCUAAGGUGAUUUAAUGGAAACACAUUGUAGUGUUCACAUUUCUAAAGUCAUGAAUAAAAUGUAGGUAUUUAAACACAUUAUUUAUAAAAUAUUCCAUACUAGAACUUAUUUGAUUUCUACAAUAUUUCUUUCUAAAACUUUAGAUAAUUGUUCAUUUUUAGUUUCUUCCUGAAGUCUUUGGAUCUUUGAAAUCGGAUUGGGAGACAGUUUUGUCUGCUAGUCCCUAGUUGCCAGGGCAGUGAUCUUCAAACUUUUUUUUUUUCUUGAGCUACACCAUUAGCACAAUCUCCACAUUUUUUAAAAAAAUAUUUUUCAAUUGUCAAUGGAUUUUUUAAUUUAUUUACAUGCGGUGCUGAGGAUCAAACCCACGGCCUCACACAUGCCAGGCAAAUGCUGUACCACUGAGUCACAACUCAAGCCAAUCUCCACACUGUUAAUUGCCAAACUUUAUAAUUAAAAUAAUUAAUAUCAGUUGGCAUUGUUUUGUAGGAUACCCUAUGAAAGUAUUAGUAAAAGCAAGAAUGAUAUGAAAUAAUGGGUAAUCUUAAACAGAAAACUUGUGUUAUUUAAUUUGUAAGUAGCUUGUUUGUGGAUUACCUGUUUUGACACAUAAUAAUUGUAUAUUUGUGCUACAGUGUAAUAUUUUGACUUUUAUAUACAAUGUACAAUGAUAAAAUCAAUAAUUAGCGUAUCCAUUACCUCAUUUAUCAUUUAUGUUGUAAACAUUCAAAAUCCUCUCUUAUCGCUAUUUUAAAAUAUGCAAUUAAUAAAUAACUAUAGUGACCCUACUAUGCUAUAUAGAACACAAGAACUUAAUCCUUUGAUAUUAUUUAUGUACUCAUUAAUUAACCUUUUUCUAUCCCUUUCUUCCCAGUACUCUUCCUAGCCUCAGGUAACCACUAUUCUAUUACCAACUUCUAUGAGAUCAACUUUAGCUUCUACUAUGAGUGAGAACAUUGGAUAUUUCUGCCUGACUUAUUUCAUUUAACGUAAUGUCCUCCAGGUUCAUUCAUAGUGCUACAAAAUGGAUUAUCUUUACAUUUGCUAAAUCUACAAAGAGUGUCCAAAUAAAACUAGAAUAUUUUGUCUUUUCCUUUGGGCACUUGUAUUUGUUUUGUCUUUCAUUAAACAAUUAUGACAAUUUUUGGUAAUGUAUCUUCCAUAUAAAAGUGGCCCAUAAGGGGCUGGGAUUGUGGCUCAGCAGUAGAGUGCUCACCUAGUGCUUGUGGGGCCCUGGGUUCGAUCCUCAGCACCACAUAAAAAUAAAUAAAAAAGGGUAUUGUGUCCAACUACAACUAAAAAAUAAAUAUUAAAAAAAUAGCCCAUAAGUCAUAGAACCAGCCAAGGUUUGCUAAGUAAGAACAGUGUCAUAGAACUAGCAUCUUGACCCAAAAGCUAGCUUCAGGUAAUAAAUCCGAAGAAAAAAAUAAUAAUCCUGAUAUAUCACCAAUUACAUGACUUAAAAUUUUUGCCUUUUAAAAUUCUUGACUCUAAAGUUUCUCUUAAAUAAAAAUUCCUUCUAAAAUCUGAGUCUCUUAUAAGACUAUAGACUGUAUAUUUUAUAUAGAGACUAUAUAACAUUUUAUACUAUAUAUUUUUAUAUAUUUUAAUUUAGAAAGGCAUGUAAUAUGUGCUCAUUGUAAAACAGCAGAAGAGUAAUCAUGGUUCUACACAAAAUUAAUAUUUUAAUUGUUGAUUUAUAUGAUUAUACACCAUAUGUAUGCAUAUAUAAAAAUAUAAAACAAAAUAAUACAGUGCAUACUGUCUUGGACCAAAAAUGUCUAAGCACAUUUGAUAUUAUCAGCCUUUUUUUAUUCUGGAGAUUGAACUCAGGAACACUUUACCACUGAACUACAAUCCCCAAUUCCUUUUUUUUGAGAAAGGGGCCUACUAAGUUCCUGAGGGUCUUGCUGAAUUGCUGAAGCUGACUUUGAACUUUGAUCCCCUUGCCUCAGCUUCCCAAUUCAUCGGGGUUACAGGUGUGGGCCACAGCUCCUGGCCCACGAUCAAUUUUUGUCCUGAAACAUUUAAAAAAAAAUUUUAUUGAUAGACCUUUAUUUUAUUUAUUCACAUGUGGUUCUGAGAAUCGAACCCAGUACCUCACUCAGUACCAGGCAAGCAUACUACCUGUGAGCCCUGAAACAUUCUUAAUGGGACAGUUACAAAUCUAUAGUUUAAAAUUUUCUCUCAAAUACACAUUUACUUGAGAAAUGCUUGCUAUUUAUUCCAUGCUCUGUGGUUUUGCUGAGGUAAGGAUAACUUUGGAGUAAGGGUGUAAAGGCUUGCUAAUGAGAGCUUACUUAGUAAAUACUGAAAGCUAAAUCCUGGGUUAACCUCAAUUUCAUUCACAUAUUAACUUGCUGCUUCUCCACUCUGGCAUCAUACUUCCUAAGCAAAGAUUUCUAUUUGCAGGGUAAUUUCAGAAGUGAACAUCUUAUUUCAGUAUAUUGUUGGUCUUUCAUGUUACCCUGGGACCUUCUGAGUUGUUAUCCCCAUUGAUAAUAAAUUAAGUAUUAUUAUUAGCGGUGGUAUAAUAUAGUUGUGUUAAAAAUACCUUUUUUGGGAGGCUGGGGUUGUAGCUCAGUGGUAAGUGCUCGCCUCGCACAUGUGGGACCCUGGGUUCGAUCCUCAGCACCAUAUAAAAAUAAAUAAGUGAAAUAAAGGUAUUGUGUCCAACUACAACUGAAAAAUAAAUAUUUUAAAAAAUACCUUUUUUUGGAAGAAAAUCUUUGGAAGCUCAAAAGACUUUAAAUCUAUAAAAUAUAAAUAUUUUUAUUUCUAUGAAAUAUGUAAUUCAUAUUCCCCCAAUGAAGUGAUAUAAUUUAUGUGUGUAUAUAAAAUUCUAAUUUUACAUAUAAAGUAACUGGUCUUUCUCAAAGCUUCCCAAAGAUUUUUAUACAGUAGAAUCCUCUUUAGAACUAUUAAUAUAACCCAAUUUUCCUGACUACUCACUUAAUUCUGUAUUUAAUCCUUCUGAUAGCUGUUUAGUUUUUGUACAAAGUGGUAACCAAAUCUUGGGUAACAUUUUUCAUCUAAGUGCAGUCAUACUUUGGCUUAACAAUGGGGACAUGUUCUGAAAAUUGCAUUGGUAGGUGAUGUUGUUUAAGAAUACCAUAAAUUGUGCUUACAUAAACCUCGAUGGUACAGCUUUCUUCACACCUAGGCUAUAUGGUAGUGAAUCUCUCCUAGGCAACAAGCCUGUACAGCAUUUUACUGUACAGAAUCCCAGUAGUUGAUUAUAAUAGAAUGGUGAAUACCUGUAUAUCUAGAUGGAAAAAGGACUGUAAAAUACUACUUAAAAGAGGGUAUGGGGUUGGGGUUGUGGCUCAGCGGUAGAGCGCUUGCCUAGCAUGUGCAAGGUCCUGGGUUCGAUCCUCAGCACCACAUAAAAAUAAAUAAAUAAAAUGUAUUGACAACUACAACUAAAAAAUAAAAAGAGGGUACAUCUGUAUCAAACACUAGUGAAUGGAGCUUUCAGGACUGGAAGUUGCUGUGGGUGAGUCAGUGAGUGGUGAGUACAUGUGAAGUCCUAGGACAUCACUAUAGACUAUUUUAUAAACACUGUAUACUUAGGCAACACAAAAUUUAUGAAUUUUUCUUCAGUAAUAAAUUUCUCAUACCUUUCUAUAACUUUUUAAUAAACUUUUUACAUUUUAACUUCCUGACAGUUAACUUAAAACAAACAUUGUAUAGCUGUACAAAAAUAUUUUUUCUAGGCUGGGGCUGUAGCUCAGUGGCUUGCCUAGCACCUGUGGGGCACUGGGUUCAAUCCUUAGCACCACAUAAAAAUAAACAAAUAAAAUAAAGGCAUUUUGUCCAUCUAUAACUACAUUUUUUUUUUCUUUUAUAAGUUUCUUUUUUUGUGGGGUGGAGGAAUAAUGUAAGUUGAACCCAGGAGUGCUCUACCAUUGAGCUACACCCCUAUCCCUUUUUAUUUUUUGAGACAUGGUCUCACAUAAUUUCUCAGGCUGGCCUGGAACUUGUGGUCCUCCUGUGUAAGCCUCCCAUAUUGGUGGGAUUAUAGGCGUGCACUACAGCAGGCGAAUCAAAUUAAAAUUUUUAAUUUAAUUUUUUACUUUUAAAACUUGUGGUGUUAUUUAAAACAAAUUAAAGAAAAAAAACUUGUUAAAAACUAAUCUAGACCUAUAGAGGGUCAGGAUCAUCAAUAUUACUGUCCUAUCUCCACAUCUUUUCCAACUGGUAGGUCUUCAGAGGCAAGAACACAUGUAGAACUGCCAUCUCUUAAGAUAACAAUGCUGCCUUCUGAAAUUCCCCUUCAAAGACCUGUCUGUGGCUUUUCUUGAGGAGUUGUCACUCUUUUCUGAAAUAUGUCUAGAGGGCUUGCUUGGUUUGUUUCUUUAAUUCAUCAUAGAUUUGCGUGUUAGCAGAUACUGCACCAUUAGCAUUCCUUUCUAUUAAUAAAAACCUUUUGGUCUUGGUGUUCAUGGUUUUGAACUUUAGGGAACUGGUUGAAGUCUGCAAAAGCUUUAAACCCUUGACUGAUUUUUUUAUCUUUUAAAGUGUUCUGUAGUUUCCUUUUCUCUUGCCUCUUCUUCAGCAGUGUAUUCCUUCUUUAUUUAUGCUUGACAAGAUAUUAACUCAGUGUCUUGUAGAUGUAGUGGGAGGUAGAGAAUCUGGGAAUUAAAAAGUAUUGAUGUUUUGUCUCAGAUUUUGUUUUCAGUUUUUUUAUAUCUGAAAAGAGUGAGAGCAGUAGCUAAUUUUCACAUGAGAGUCCACCAAGAGGAUGGAUUGUCAUCUCUCAAGUUUUAUAGCCAAAUGUUACUCAAUAUUCUUUAAAUAGAUAGUCUUUGUUUAAUAUUAAUUUAGUGCUUGUGGUACAGUAGUGAUUCUUUCAGAUUUGCACUGUUUUGAACUUUUUAACUAGAAAUAAUGAUGUUCUUAUGAAAUAAUUGUUUUUCUUUAAAGAUAAAAGAUUGUGCAAGUGUUCUGCAUCAAUAUGCAUACUCAGAUUUGGCCAACCAUUGGAGGUUCAGGAUUCUAUGUACACUGCCUAUUCUUGAAUACCUGGAACACACUGCAUUACAAAAUGAACUUCCUUUUCAAACUUGCCCUGUUCCAUUCUUGGUUACCUCAGUCAAUAGUGCCAUUUCAUCCAGUUUCUCACAGCAGACUCCUUGUCUUUCCAUAUUUUAUAAUCCUGUUCAUUUAACCUUCUAAAUAAGCUUAGUCUGUCCUCUUCAUUUUUACCACUACAUUUCUAUCUUAGCUGCUUGUUGUCUUUCUUGGACACUUGCAAGUGGUCACUUGCAUCCAGUGUGACCCAGCCACUCAUACAUUAGUGCAGCCAGAAUGAAUUGAUUUUUCUAAAUACAUAGGUCUGAACAUGUUAUCUUGGAAUUUAGGAUGAAGAUGAAGUUGCUUAAUGUGGCUGUGCUAAACUUUUGGACCAUUUUGUACCAACCAUUUUCCCUAUUAGAUUUUUUUCUGUUUCUUGACUAGAAAACCUUUUAUUUCUUCUCUAUGUAGGAAAUCUUAUAAAUUUUUUGAGUCUCUGCUCAAGCAUAAUUUCCAAGUUAUACUUGAUUUCCCUCAUUUUUGAGCUUUUUCUUUAUGCAUUCAUUUAUGCAAUUUUAUCUUUAUUGCAUAUUACCCACCAGAUUAUAAGAGUGGAUAAUGUGCUUGUGUUCAUUUUCAGGCACCAGACUUACCAGAAGAUAGUACCUGACACAUAACAAGCUGUCAGAAUUAUUUGAAUGAUUGUAGAAUCCUCACAAAACUAAUUUGUAUUAUUAUACCUUAUUGUUAGGCUGUUGUGGUACCAUCUAACAUUUUAUAAUUUUAGGGACUCAUGGUGGAAAGAGAUUCUAAGCCAGCUGUGUUGCUUAAAAGUAAAGUCAUCAGUCACUCCUUGAAUACAUCAGUCUGGCUAGUCUUUAACACAUUUAGGUGGUUAGAAAGUAUAAUUUCAACUGAAAUUUCUCCUUGGAACUUUUAUCUACUGAUCUUACUUCUUUUUGGGGUGUGGGGCUUCCAAAAACAUAAUUUCCAUUUUCAUUGUAAAGUCUUCUGAACUCUGUUUUAGUGUAAAUAUCCUUAUAGCCUCCUUCAGCUUUCUGGGAUAGGGUGUGCUUGAAAUAUGAAGUUUGGGGGCUAAAUAUAAAUACCUUCCUUAACAAAUUACAACAAACUUAUUGGUUUAAAACAAAAAUAUAUUCUCUCACAGAUCCAGAGACCCUUUGUUCAGAAUCAAGGUGUUUGCAGUGCUAUGCUCCCUCAGAAAGCUCUAGGGAAGAGUCUUUUAUGCUUUGUGUAGUUUUUGGUGGCUUGCCAUCACUUGUGGCUACAUUAGUCAGGUGUUUGCCUCCAUGGCCCCAUUUUCUCCUACUCUCCUGUCUGUAAUCUCCAUCUGUCUGAGUUGUAUGAGGACAGUUGUUGGUUUGUAUCAUCUUGUGACAAUAUAAUUUCAGGAUCCUUAAUUUAGGGCUGGGGAUAUGGCUCAGUGGUAGAGUGUUUGCCUAGCAUGCAUGAAGCCCUGGGUUCAAUCCUCAAAAAAAACCUUAUUUGGUUACAUCUGCAAAGACACUUUUCCCAAAUAAGGAAACAUUCAUUAAUUCCAAUGAUUUAGAACAUGGCCAUGUCUUUUUGAGAGCUACCAUUCAAGCCAUUACCAGGCUACAGGCUUAAAUUAUGGUAAUACCACCUACUAGUUUUGCAACCUUGAACAUGUUGCUUAACUUUUGAGUCUGAAUCUCCUUAAAAUUUUAAGUCAAGGACAAUAAUGCUUUUAUCACUGAUGUGAAGAUAUAAAGAAAAUUCAUGUGAAGUACUUAGCAUAUGGUAGCUAAUGCAUUAAAUGUUGCCUUCUACGUGUCUAACUACCCAGAUCCUACUGUGCUUGUUCAGCAUCCCUGGACAUCAUGUGUGUCCUAGAAUCUCACAUGAGUUGCAAGACUGAUCUGAUAAAUGCAGGUUUUCUUAUGUUAUGGACACAAUUUAGCCAACUAUGAUGUUGCCCAAAUUUAAAUUUAGGUUUAUCUGUAGCUGCAUCAUAGGGCUUUAUUGAACUUAGAAUUGGUUAAAAUCCCCAAGCCUUUUUCAUUUAUGAUUAAAUCUAUAUUGUGUAGUGGAAUUUGUGGGUUCAAGUGCAUGUUGUCAAAAAUUACAUUGUAUAUCACAAGUGCUGAUAAUAUCAAGUCAUAGUACCUAGUGCAUAUUGGGAGCUAAAGCUCCCAAUUUUUAAAUGCUGAGUUUUUUUUAAAUAUAUUUUUUAGUUGUAGAUGGACAUAAUGCCUUUAUUUAUUUUUAUUUUUUAUGUGGUGCUGAGAAUGGAACCUAGUGCCUCACACAUGCUAGGCAAGCGCUCUGCCUCUGAGCUCCAGCCCCAGCCCAUGAAUGCUGAAUUUAAUGUUGCCUGUGGUUUAAGAAAUUUAGCUCCUUUGUGCUAUUCAGAGUAUUUUUUAAAACAAGUGCUGUGAUUAAUGUAAAAAGGAAAAAAAGUUACCAGUGGAGUAGCAACUAUAUCGGUUAAUGUUGGGCAGUUGAAUGGCAUCACUAGAGUCUCCUGUGAACAAGAUGCUCUUCAGGUAAUCAAUGGCUGAUCACUUCUGGUUAAUAGACAGUUCUUGAUAAUGUCUUCAAGUGUGAGAUGUAUGUCAUUACUAAUGUGACAAGUGUGUAUCCAGUGAUUUUUCAAAUCUAUUUUCAUACUAGCAUUUUUUGGCAUUUGAAUUUGAGAUAAAAGACUAGAGAAAUCAGUGAUGUAGAGAUGGAUUUUUGAAAAUAUCUAGUCCUUCCCACCACUGCCUUGAUACUGGGAUUGAGCUCAGAGGUACUUCACCGCUGGGCUACCUCCCCAACCCUUUUUAAGUUUUUUCUUUUGAGACAGGGUCUUACCAACUCUUUGAGGCUGGCCUUGAACUUGUGAUUGCCUCAGCCUCUGGAGUCUGAGCCACUGUGCCUGCCUAAAAAUAUCAAGUUGUGAGUAAGUAUUACAUGCAUGCGGUUAAGAAGACAAUGUAAAAAGGAAUACAGUGCAAAGCGACUUUCUCUUCCAUAGUUUCCCUUUCUGGAAACCACCACCCCUAUUUUUUUUGUCCUUCUAGGUAGGCUAAACAAAAAUGUUUGUAUCCGUCCCUUUUAAAAACAAACAUGAAGCUGGGCAUGGUGACACACACCUGUAAUCACAGCUGUUUUGGAGUCUGAGGUAGUGAAUUCAAGUUCAAGACCAGUGUUGGCAACGUAGUGAGACCCUGUCUCAAAAUUUCAAAUAAAUAAAUAAAUAAAUGAAAAGGGUAAAUCUCUUCUUAGUUAAAUUCCCAGUACUGCCAUAAUACAAAAAUUAAACAUAAAUGAUAGCAUAUAUACAUAAACAAGUGCUUUCUUAACAAGAUAUAGAAUUUUUAAAAAAUAUAGGACCAAUGUAGGAUUUCAAGGGUUUUUUUUUUUUUUUUUNAGGCUAUCUUUGAAUUCAUGUUCCUCCUGACUCAGCCUCCGCAACCACUGGGAUUAUAGGCUGUGCCACCAUACCCGUAGUAAGCUAGUAAUUCUUAAUCUUUGGUCUCAAAACCCUUUUAUUCUCUUAAAAAUUAUUGAGGACUUUAAAGGGCUUUUGUAUAUGUUGACUACAGAUAUUAAGACUAAGAAAUUUAAAGAAUGUUCAUUAAUUGAUUUUAAGAUAAUAGUAAAUUUACUGCAUGUUGAAAGGUGUUUCUAUAGCCAGUGUGGUGGUGCAUGCCUAUAAUCCCAGUAUCUCAGGAGGCUGAGGCAGGAGGAUCACUAUUUCAAAGUCAGCCUCAGCUAUUUAGAGAGGCCUUAAGCAACUCAGCAGUCUCUUAAGUGAAAUACUUAACGGCUGGGGAUGUGGUGCAGUGGUUGAGGGCCCCUUAGUUAAAUCCCUGGUACCAAAAAAAAAAAAAAAGAUUUCUACAAAGCAAUUUUCUGAAACAAGUUAGUGAGAUUUUGUUUUCAGUUUUUACAAAUCUUUUUAAUGUCUGGUUUGAGAGGAAAUGGUGGAUUCUCAUACCUACUUUUGCACUCAUUUUGCUGCAGAAUGUUGAUUUGGUUAAAGUAAAAAAAAGAUCUUCUCAUACCAAAUAUGUAGUUGGAAAAGAGGAGUAUCUUAAGAGCCAUUUUAGAUUUUUUUUUUUUAGUGUUAGGUUGACACAAUAUCUUUAUUUUACAUUUAUGUGGUGCUGAGAAUUGAACCCAGUGCCUCACGCAUGCUAGGUGAGUGUGUUACCACUUGAGCCACAUCCCCAGCCCUCCAUUUUAGAUUUUUAUGCUUCUUGUUCUUUGAUGUUAUGCCCAAACUCAUUAGCAGUGAUUUCUCUUUCUUUCUUCCUUUCUUAAAAAAAAUUUUUUUUUUUGUAGUUAUAGUUGGACAGAAUGUCUUUAUUUAUUUGUUUAUUUUUUUGAGGUGCUAAGGAUCGAACCCAGUGCCUCACACAUGCUAGGCAAGCACUCUGCCAUUGAGCCCCAGCCCCAGCCUCAGCAAUAAUUUCUUUAAAGGUGAGUUGUAAUAUGGAAUAAUGAAACCAUAACUGUACUCUGUUAUGCCCAAACUUACUGGUUUGUCAUGCACUUUGAAUGGCUCUUUUAACCUAUGCAUGAUUUUGUAAUAUUGUAGCAUUGGUCAUUGGAAAGUAUUAGUUCACUGAGUUGUACAGAUUUUCUAAAUGCUGAUGCAGAAAUCAUAUUAAUAUUACCAACUGAUUUCAUAAGAAAAGCCUUUUAAGUAAUGAAAAGCUAUCAAGCUCACUGUGGCAGAUAAGUUUUCCAGAAUUCUAAUUAUCACUUAAAAUUUAUCAAAUUUCAUCAUUGACAACAAAUAUUGCUAGUGACAGGCUGACUUUUAAUUUUUGAGAAAAUGUCAAAUACCCAGGUCUGAUCAUAUAAUUUGUGUGACAGCCAUUCUUUCAAGUAAAAAUAAUAUUCCUUCAGGAAAAAGUAGCUAAUUUUAGCUUGAUUCAGAGAAUGGUGCCCAUAUUUUUGUGACCAUCAUCAUACUUCCACAUGUAACAGAAAUACUUUGUGCAUGUUCUGUUUGUUGAAUAGAAUAAGAAAGACAUGAACUCAAGGGUGAAUAUUUAAUAAAUUAUUAAUUUUUACUCAUUCAUUGAGCCCAUUCAUAAAUAAAAUAAACUGCCUUAUCCUGCCUUUUUUUGUGAGCACAUGAUGGUGAAGAGUAUAAUAGCUACUAUAUUGUGGCUACUAUAGUAGUUAGUAGCUGUUAUCUUAAAUUGUGCUGUCAGUAGUUUUACCCCACCAUUGCUUUGUAUCAUAAGUGUAAAUAUAAACACAGUGGGGGGAAAGACAACUAGCUUUUAAUUAUUAUGAAAAUGAUGUAGAUCUCAUGGAUCCCUUGAGAGUCUGUGGUUCACUUUGAGAACUGCUAUUGAUGUUUUCCUGCAGUUCCUGAUCCAGAACGUGACAUGGAAAAGGUGCUCAAGAAUAUUUACUUAAUGAAUGUGAUAUGCUGGCAUUUAAACAUGUCAAAAUUUGGUGAAUGAAAGUAUGUAGACUGAUGUCCAUCCAGGCAGUUUGAUUGAGCAGCUUUUCCACAGAUAUUGUGAGAAUAAAGUGAACAAAUGGAAUGUAGGUGAUAUGUGUUGGCAAUGCAAAUGAUGAAAUAAAGAACUCAAUAUAAGGUGAUAGUACCUACAGAGCUAACACUUUGAGCCUUGUUAGGUUGCUAUUAGUGAGUCCUCUGCUUUUUGUCUUUAGUGGUGUAAAAGAGGAUUCUAAAUAGGAUGGAUUUAACCUGAAAAGCAAAUUUCAAUUUCAAUAGGUCACUGCUGUGCUUGAUUUUAUUUUUUCAAAGUAGACUACAGAAGGUAAAAUGUGAACAAAUAAUUUCAUUUUCCCUUGUGAGUUAAAUAAAUUUUGUUGUUCCUCUUCUAAUUCAUAUUCAAUAUGUUGGACUUGCUUUCUUCUUUCUUCUCUCUUUUUCUUUUCUUCUUGUUGGGGGAAGUUGGUUCAAGGAAACCUUUUUCUAUAACUUUUUAUAUUCUUUGAAUUUGAGGAAAUUGCUUCCCAAAUAAGAAAGUCUGACCACACAAGGUAAAUUGUCAUAUUAUUUUAUCCUCAUGGGAAUUAAAGUAUAAGAUUAGGUUAGGACAUUGCUUUAAAACGGGGGUUAUUGGUUUUCUGUUCUUUUAAGGAAAUAAAUUAACAAAGGGAAUGGUCACAUCAAAUACUUAGAAUACCUUUAAAAUAGUUUAACACAAAACUGUUGUAGGAAUUUUGAACUUUGACCCCAUUUUUGUCUUAAAUGGAUUUUAAAUCAAUAUCAGGUGGGGGUGGGGAGGAUGGUAUAAACCUGUAAUCCCAUUUAUGUGGGGAUCCUGAGACUAAAGGCUCUCGAGUUUGAGGUCAGCCUGGGCAAUUUAAAGAGACCUCAUCUCAGAAAUUUUUAAAAAGGGAUGCUGGGUUAGCUCAGUGGUAGACUGGCCCUGAGAUCAAUUCUGAGUACUGAAAAAAAAAAAACAAUAAUGUUAAAUGCUGAGGACCAACAAAUUACUCAUCUUAUGUUGAACAACAACAACAAAAAAAAUUAACUAUCUUUUAGUUGUCAAUGGAUCUUAUUUAUUUAUUUAUUUAUAUGCAAUGGUGAGAAUUGAACCCAGGGCCUCACAUUUCAGGAAAGUGCUCUCCUACUGAACCACAACUCUAGCCCCCCAAACAAAUUUUUUUUUAUAUUGAAAUAUUAUCUUGAAUUUGAGACAAUAUUUGAACUGAAGUUUUUGCCUUUAUGAAUAAGAGACAUUUUUGUGAGCUAUUUAAUUUUCGUAAUUUUUUUUUAAAUAAAAUUGAGUGAGACUGUAUAGCAAACUCAUGUAUAUCCUAGAAUAUAUCUGAAUGUUUCUCAGAAACUUGAUUUUUUAGGGAGAAACCUAUUUAGUGUUUCAUUGUACUUCUACCUGGUUGGCAUAGCAUACCACAAUGAUAAACUAUCUGAUAACCAGGAAAAUAAUAAUUGUUUAAUUAUUAAAGUAAAUGAAUUUCUCUGAGACAUUGCCAAUGUAGUCAUUUGUAAGUAUGGACACUUUUAAGAAAAGUAAAUAAAAAUCCUGUGUGUUUGUAAGUUCUAGGUUGCCACAUCUGAUCUCAUGUCACUGUCAAAACACAGGCACAUUACAAAAAUAUUAUAUAAAAUUAAUUUCAGGCUAUUUGUAUAAGGAAGUAUGAAACAUUAAUUUCAUAUUUAGACUUGGGUCCCAUUCCCAAGGUGUCUUGUUAUGUAUAUGCAAAUAUUUCAAAAUCUAAAGCACUUCUGGCCUCAAACAUUUUGAACAAGAGAUACUCGACCUAUAUUUUAUUCCCCUGCAUUUUUACAAACUUUUAAUAUAUAUAUAUGAUUAUAUGAUUAUAAACUAAAUAAUGUACAUAUUAUAUGUAAACUGUAUUUUCUAUGGAUAUAUAUAUCCAUAUAAAUAUAUAUCCAUAGAAAAAGUAUAUUGUUUUAUAUCUUUUAAAACUUUGUAUAAGUGGUUAAACUUUAUUGAUAUGUGUAGUUAUACUCAUUUUAAAUGCUAUUAAUAUCUAAUAUAACGGCAUGUGAAAAUAAUUUUGUAAGGCAUCUUAAAAAUAAAGUAGUAAGAUGACAAAAAUUUGUAAACCUACCAUCCAGAAAUAUCACAUUUGAUAUUUUUUUCCUUCACUUCCUCAUUUCCAACUUUUGUAUGUAUACUUUUGGUACCUUUUAAUAUCAAAGGGAUCGUGUUUUAUGGAUUACAUAAAAUUGUAAAACAGCCAUAUAAAGACUAUAAUCCCAGUUUAGUUGAUUCCUAGUUGAAUAAGGAAAGAAUAUGGAUGAAUACUGCAUAUCAGAUAUACAUAGAUAUUGAUGAUUUAUUUCUUAGUAUAGAAGCACCAUAUAGGUGGCAUCUGGGAAGAGGUGGGUCAUAUUGUUUAGUGUGUCUUAAAAAUUAAAGAUUUUUCUAAUAAGCAUAGUUACUAGGUAGAUGACACUUAUCUCUUUAAACAUUUAGAGCUAUUUUGUUUUUAACCAUUUUUAAUGGAAAAAAAUUGGAAAAGAAGCCUAUGAUGAGUAUCAUUGUUCUGUUUAAACUGUAAUACUAUGUACUACUUAUAAUUUUAUCUUUCCUUGUUCAUCACCAUGAAAAGCACUGAUGACUGAACUCUGUUGAAAUUUCUGUUAGCCUCUUGUGCACCCUUAGUUAGAUCUUUAUCAGCAUUCCAUGCCACUGCAAGGAGGGAGUUGGAAGAGCAUGAUAAAAUCUAAAGGCAGUUCUCACCAAUGGCAGUAGUGGGAAAGGCCACCAGCAGCCUUGUCUCUUCAUUGGAUGAAGCUGACCCACCCUCCUGAUCUCUUCAGUCUCUUCCUGCCAGUACAUCCUUUAUGUGCAUGUGUUAAACAUUAUAUGAUUAUUAACUAAAUAAUGUACAUAUUAUAUGUAAACUGUAUUUGAAGAAUAUAGUUAUGUAUAAACUAUUAUAUAUAAAUGAUAACACUAUAUAACUAAAAAUAUUUGGCAUCAUGGUGAAAUUAUUGGAAGAGUUCCUGACUGCAGUUGAAAAACCCUCUAUUCCACAUUUACUAUGAUUUCUAAUGGGAACGUUUUAAAAACCCUUUUUAAUUUUAUAUAUCUUAUUUUUUAAAGUAGUUUUAUAUUUGUAGAAAAUUUUGAAUGGAAAAUAUGGAGAGUUCCCUUCCUAUCUAUUCUGCUAUCCCCAGUUUCCCUUAACAUCUUACUUUAAUGUAAAUUUGUUACAGUCAAUUAGCCGAUAUUAACUAAAACUCAUAGUUUACAUUGGAUUUCUUUGUGUUGCUGUCUAUGGGUUUUGACAAAUGCAUAUUGAUAUAUCUAUCAUCUGUUACAGUAUCAUUCAGAAUGGUUUCACUACCCUAAAAAUCUCCUAUACUCUCCUUCCCUCCUUACUUGCAAACCCUUGGCAGCCACUGAUCUUGUUACUGUCUCCCUAGUUUUACCUUUUCUGAAAUGUCAUAUGGUUGGAAUCAUACAUUUGUAACCAUUUCAGAUUGAUUUCUUUCUCUUAGAAGUAAGUUUCUUCCAUGUCUUCAUGGCUUGAUAGCUUAUUUUCUUUUUAGUGCCGAAUGUAAUGUCCCAUUGUAUGGAUGUACUAUGGUUUAUCCAUUCACCUACUGAAGGACAUCUUUGUUGCUUCCAAGUUUUUGUUUUAUUUUUUGCAAUUAUGAAUAAAGUUGCUUUGAAUAAAAAAAAAAAAAAACCUACUCAUGUCUAAAAAUAUUACUAACAAAAAGUUGGAAAAUUUUCCUCAGAUAUAAAAUAUUGGUACCUUUGUUUAAAAAACAAAUUAAUCUAAAGUGAGAUUGUUCAUAAUGUUCAAUCUUCAGAAGAAUUUCUUUGAAAUCAGAAACACAAUGCAAAUACCUAACAACUGUGAAACACGUAAUAUUUUAAAUGCACAUCUUCUAUCAUUAAGUAAUUUUACCAAAAU